CCCUCUGGUUCUCACAAUCAGAAAGCCACCUUCUUGGCUACACUCAAAACAUUGAAGAACAGCAUUGCGAUAGUCAUGUCUUUGCAGCUCGUGUCCUCCACUGAACACACUCCCACAUCAACCCAAAUGGCGCCCUCCUUCAUCCAGCUUUUCGGGACCCGAGUUCCUAAGCCCAUGUCAUGAAUCAUAACAUCUGCUUGCUGUAAACUCAUCCUUACGCCAUAUCUUAAACAGGGAUUCAAGUAUGCACAACAUAUGAGGAAGCAACAUAUAACAUCUGCUUGCUGUAAACUAUAACAUAUAACUCUAUUAUAGAGGAAGAAAUAGAGUUUUUUUUUAUAUAUAGAGCAGAAAAUAGCAGUUUCUGUUUAAAGGUGAAAAUAGGGGAGAGUUGAAGUAAAUUUUAUUUUAAAAUAGAGUUUAGAGACAAAAAAAAUAGAAAUGUGUUGGAAAUGCUCUACGAUUAUGAAAUAUGUUAUAGUAUUUGGCUUGUAUUCUAAGAAAUAAAAUUAAAAAGUUAUCAUGCAUCCAUAGAUGAAGUAUUUAUUUCAUAUUCUUGAAGCUGACACCUAAAACUAAACGUUUGAUUAAGAUCAUACGAAGAGGUGAUGAUGUUCAAACGAGUUUUUUUUUUUUUUUUUUUAAAUUUAUUUCGUCUAUUCAGUUUAAUUCUAAAUUAAAUAAAGUAUAAAUCAAUUGUUUUGGUCAACUGUUGAAAAUCGUAGGAAGAGAUCGCAAUAAUUUUGUUGAAGAAAAGUUGUCAAUGUUUUUGCUUUUUAACAUUUUCUAUUAUUUUACUUACAGGAUGAAGAGAUUGCCAACGGUAGAUCAAAAGCUU
rnacentral:lncRNA from 1 species